rnacentral:piRNA from 1 species
GUGCUGAGAUUGCUGGCAUGUACCACCAUA